rnacentral:rRNA from 1 species
GACGAACCGUGCGAACGUUAUUCGGAAUCACUGGGCUUAAAGCGCGUGUAGGCGGGCGGGAACGUCGGUGACUGAAAGCCCCCGGCUCAACCGGGGAAGUGGUGCCGAAACGACCCGUCUGGAGGAGCGUAGGGGGACCUGGAACUUCCGGUGGAGCGGUGAAAUGCGUUGAGAUCGGAAGGAACGCCCGUGGCGAAAGCGAGGUCCUGGACGUCUGCUGACGCUGAGACGCGAAAGCCAGGGGAGCGAACGGG